rnacentral:rRNA from 1 species
CCGGGGCUAAUACCGGAUGGUUGUCUGAACCGCAUGGUUCAGACAUAAAAGGUGGCUUCGGCUACCACUUACAGAUGGACCCGCGGCGCAUUAGCUAGUUGGUGAGGUAACGGCUCACCAAGGCGACGAUGCGUAGCCGACCUGAGAGGGUGAUCGGCCACACUGGGACUGAGACACGGCCCAGACUCCUACGGGAGGCAGCAGUAGGGAAUCUUCCGCAAUGGACGAAAGUCUGACGGAGCAACGCCGCGUGAGUGAUGAAGGUUUUCGGAUCGUAAAGCUCUGUUGUUAGGGAAGAACAAGUGCCGUUCAAAUAGGGCGGCACCUUGACGGUACCUAACCAGAAAGCCACGGCUAACUACGUGCCAGCAGCCGCGGUAAUACGUAGGUGGCAAGCGUUGUCCGGAAUUAUUGGGCGUAAAGGGCUCGCAGGCGGUUUCUUAAGUCUGAUGUGAAAGCCCCCGGCUCAACCGGGGAGGGUCAUUGGAAACUGGGGAACUUGAGUGCAGAAGAGGAGAGUGGAAUUCCACGUGUAGCGG